rnacentral:rRNA from 1 species
GACGAACGCUGGCGGCGUGCUUAACACAUGCAAGUCGAAUGGAAAGGCCCUGCUUUUGUGGGGUGCUCGAGUGGCGAACGGGUGAGUAACACGUGAGUAACCUGCCCUUGACUUUGGGAUAACUUCAGGAAACUGGGGCUAAUACCGGAUAGGAGCUCCUGCUGCAUGGUGGGGGUUGGAAAGUUUCGGCGGUUGGGGAUGGACUCGCGGCUUAUCAGCUUGUUGGUGGGGUAGUGGCUUACCAAGGCUUUGACGGGUAGCCGGCCUGAGAGGGUGACCAGCCACAUUGGGACUGAGAUACGGCCCAGACUCCUACGGGAGGCAGCAGUGGGGAAUAUUGCACAAUGGGCGGAAGCCUGAUGCAGCAACGCCGCGUGCGGGAUGACGGCCUUCGGGUUGUAAACCGCUUUCGCCUGUGACGAAGCGUGAGUGACGGUAAUGGGUAAAGAAGCACCGGCUAACUACGUG